rnacentral:tRNA from 1 species
CGUUCUAUAGCCAAACUGGUCAAGGCAUCGCCGAUCAGAGGCGGAGAUGUGGGUUGGAGUCCCGCAGGAACGG